CGGGGCGUAGCGCAGUCUGGUAGCGCACCACACUGGGGGUGUGGUGGUCGUAGGUUCAAAUCCUAUCGCCCCGACCA
rnacentral:tRNA from 2 species